rnacentral:rRNA from 2 species
UUGCACUGAUUUCAACAAUGAAGCGAGUGGCGAACUGGUGAGUAACACGUGGGGAAUCUGCCCAGAAGCAGGGGAUAACACUUGGAAACAGGUGCUAAUACCGUAUAACAACAAAAUCCGCAUGGAUUUUGUUUGAAAGGUGGCUUCGGCUAUGGGUGCUGGAUGAUCCCGCGGCGUAUUAGUUAGUUGGUGAGGUAAAGGCCCACCAAGACGAUGAUACGUAGCCGACCUGAGAGGGUAAUCGGCCACAUUGGGACUGAGACACGGCCCAAACUCCUACGGGAGGCAGCAGUAGGGAAUCUUCCACAAUGGACGAAAGUCUGAUGGAGCAAUGGCGCGUGAGUGAAGAAGGGUUUCGGCUCGUAAAACUCUGUUGUUAAAGAAGAACAGCUUUGAGAGUAACUGUUCAAGGGUUGACGGUAUUUAACCAGAAAGCCACGGCUAACUACGUGCCAGCAGCCGCGGUAAUACGUAGGUGGCAAGCGUUGUCCGGAUUUAUUGGGCGUAAAGCGAGCGCAGGCGGUUUUUUAAGUCUGAUGUGAAAGCCUUCGGCUUAACCGGAGAAGUGCAUCGGAAACUGGGAGACUUGAGUGCAGAAGAGGACAGUGGAACUCCAUGUGUAGCGGUGGAAUGCGUAGAUAUAUGGAAGAACACCAGUGGCGAAGGCGGCUGUCUAGUCUGUAACUGACGCUGAGGCUCGAAAGCAUGGGUAGCGAACAGGAUUAGAUACCCUGGUAGUCCAUGCCGUAAACGAUGAGUGCUAAGUGUUGGAGGGUUUCCGCCCUUCAGUGCUGCAGCUAACGCAUUAAGCACUCCGCCUGGGGAGUACGACCGCAAGGUUGAAACUCAAAGGAAUUGACGGGGGGCCGCACAAGCGGUGGAGCAUGUGGUUUAA